UGGGGAAUAUUGCACAAUGGGCGCAAGCCUGAUGCAGCCAUGCCGCGUGUAUGAAGAAGGCCUUCGGGUUGUAAAGUACUUUCAGCGGGGAGGAAGGGAGUAAAGUUAAUACCUUUGCUCAUUGACGUUACCCGCAGAAGAAGCACCGGCUAACUCCGUGCCAGCAGCCGCGGUAAUACGGAGGGUGCAAGCGUUAAUCGGAAUUACUGGGCGUAAAGCGCACGCAGGCGGUUUGUUAAGUCAGAUGUGAAAUCCCCGGGCUCAACCUGGGAACUGCAUCUGAUACUGGCAAGCUUGAGUCUCGUAGAGGGGGGUAGAAUUCCAGGUGUAGCGGUGAAAUGCGUAGAGAUCUGGAGGAAUACCGGUGGCGAAGGCGGCCCCCUGGACGAAGACUGACGCUCAGGUGCGAAAGCGUGGGGAGCAACAGG
rnacentral:rRNA from 1 species